rnacentral:rRNA from 1 species
GUGAGGAAUAUUGCGCAAUGGAGGCAACUCUGACGCAGCCAUGCCGCGUGCAGGAAGAAGGCGCUACGCGUUGUAAACUGCUUUUAACCGGGAAGAAACCCCAGGACGUGUCCUGGGUUGACGGUACCGGAGGAAUAAGCACCGGCUAACUUCGUGCCAGCAGCCGCGGUAAUACGAAGGGUGCAAGCGUUAUCCGGAUUCAUUGGGUUUAAAGGGUGCGUAGGCGGAGCGUUAAGUCAGUGGUGAAAUCCUGCAACUUAACUGUAGACUUGCCAUUGAUACUGGCGCUCUUGAGUGCGCUUGAAGUGGGCGGAAUGUGCCGUGUAGCGGUGAAAUGCUUAGAUAUGGCACAGAACACCAAUUGCGAAGGCAGCUCACUAAGGCGAUACUGACGCUGAGGCACGAAAGCGUGGGGAUCGAACAGGAUUAGAUACCCUUGUAGUCC